AUGUCUGCCAUAUGGAGGCUGCUGGCAGCAAAGGGAGAUGAACAAGCCAAGGUUGCCCGGCCUGCAUGCCGGCCCAGGGCUGCUGCUGUGUCUUGCCAUCAACCCUCCCCUGACACCCAGGAUGCCUGCCUCACCCAGAAGCACUCCUACGUCAGGCCUCUGAGGGGGAGCGCUUCAUGCCACUGUUAUCAAAAGAAGAAACCAUCGAAGCAGAAAGGCCAAUGCCACACUAGACAGCCAGGAGCCCAGCAGAACAAGUGGCCCCCUAAGGCACUUUGGGGACCACACCCCGCCACUGACCCCAGCACAGUCUGGUUCCCAGGGCUUCAGGAUCCUCCUGGGGACCUCUCAGCAUGA
ensembl:lncRNA novel transcript